UACGAGGGGGGCGAGCGUUGUUCGGAAUUAUUGGGCGUAAAGGGUGCGUAGGCGGUUUGGUAAGUCUUAUGUGAAAUCUAUGGGCUCAACUCAUAGUCUGCAUGAGAAACUGCCGGGCUUGAGUAUGGGAGAGGUGAGUGGAAUUCCUGGUGUAGCGGUGAAAUGCGUAGAUAUCAGGAGGAACACCUGUGGCGAAAGCGGCGCACUGGACCAUAACUGACGCUGAGGCGCGAAAGCUAGGGGAGCAAACAGG
rnacentral:rRNA from 1 species